CCCUUAGAUGUCCGGGGCUGCACACGCGCUACACUGAAGGAAUCAGCGUGCUAAAACCAUUGUCGAAAGGCAUUGGUAAACCCAUUAAAAUCCUACGUGAUUGGGAUCGGGAAUUGCAAUUAUUUCCCUUGAACGAGGAAUUCCCAGUAAGUGUGGGUCAUAAGCUCGCGUUGAUUACGUCCCUGCCCUUUGUACACACCGCCCGUCGCUGCCCGGGACUGAGCCGUUUCGAGAAAAGCGGGGACUGCUGCUGUCGGGGCUUUCGGGCCUUGGCUUCGGUGGAAACCGCUUUAAUCGCAGUGGCUUGAACCGGGCAAAAGUCGUAACA
rnacentral:rRNA from 1 species